rnacentral:rRNA from 1 species
GACAGAGGGUGCGAACGUUGUUCGGAAUUACUGGGCGUAAAGCGCAUGUAGGCGGCAGCGCAAGUCGGGCGUGAAAUCCCACGGCUCAACCGUGGAAGUGCACUCGAAACUGCGCAGCUAGAGUCCUGGAGAGGAAGGUGGAAUGACUUGGGUGUAGAGGUGAAUUCGUAGAUAUCAAGCGGAACACCGGUGGCGAAGGCGGCCUCUGGACAGU